rnacentral:lncRNA from 1 species
AAACAAUAUUGGCAAUGAAUCAAAAAUAAAUGUUUCCUUUUCUUUCCAAUUCAUUAAUUAGGCAACUAAUUUGAAACUGGUGUGGGUGGCUCUAUAUAUACUAGCCCACUGCAGCCACAUGCAGAAAUCAACAUGGAAUCGAAAAGAAAACCAAACUGGCGAGAGGAGGAGACACUGUUGUUAGUAGAGCUAGUCGAGGAAAGGAAGCUCAUCAUUAAAGGCAAGUUCAGCCCGACGCUUACCAGCCAUGAUAAAAAACAGGCAUGGGAAGACAUAUCAAAUCAACUUAACGCCUCUCAAACCUUCAGCCAUCGGUCACCAGCUGACUGCGAGAAGAAGUGGUAUAACGUUCUCUCGAAAAGCAGAAGUGAAAUCGCAGCUUUCAAGGCCUGCUCCAUGCGCACUGGCGGAGGACCACCUGGCAAAGAUUUGAGCGCAGUUGCAGAAGUUGUGCAGCGCAUUCUUGGAGAGGAUAACCCCAGCAUCUCUGGGUUGGACGGCGGCCAGGAUCCAGCUGCGAUGAAGCUUGAGUUGCUUUCAAAAGGUUUGGAUCGAGAUGCAUUAGAGUCUCCUGUGUCCCACUCCCCUGCGCACUCUCCCUCUGCCUUUGACGCGGUGCAGCCAGGCCCAAGCACUUCGUGUGAGGCAACAGGCAACAAUCAAGUGGCCGAGGUGAGUGAUUGCGACUCAGCAGAGGAGACGGAUGAUCUGCAGGCACUGCGGAGACAAAAAAUUAAGCUGCAAAUUAAAGUGCUGCGGCUCCAAGAGGAGUACUACAGCUUGGCUUUAAAAAAAAGAAAAAAUACCGAGUGACUAAUAAAAUGAAUUGAUAAAAAGCCGCUGUAUUGAUGAUUUAUUGUUCUUACCCAAAGUGGAGGUUGGCGAAGUGUUGUCUGAAGGCUGCCCCAUCACAUGGAUGGAUGUUGCCAGGGACGCUCGCGUCUCCAUCUCCUCCCUCAUCGUCAUCAUCGUCUGCUGGUGGAAGUGGGACAUUGCGCUCCUUACAAAUGUUGUGCAGUAUUGCACAUGCCAUAAUGAUACGGCACACUCUGUCUGGAGUGUGCCGUAUCUCUACUUGCGUGUUGAUGCUGUGGUACCUCUUCCUAUUAACAAACACACUCUCGUCCACACUUGGAG